AGCCUACUUCUGGGUGUAAAUAUCCAUCCCUCCACCGCUAUUUCGUGUUUUACACCGCAACUUUUCCCCCUCGCAUUCAUUGUUGAGGUAGAGGGCUGGUUGUCCAGUGCGUGCCCUCUCUCGUCUGACAUUAUCCUUUGAAAAGGUAUUCCUGGAAGUACGUGACACCCGACGCAUUGUCCCUCCCUCAGUGGCUCUAGCGUGCUGUGUCUGAGAAAAAAGCCCCGAAAACCUGUACGGAGAUAUCCAACGUUUAUCUCAACCUCUCACAAAAGCUCUAAGACACAGAUGCCACGGUCAAUGCAGUAGACAUGUGAUAGAGCAACACCGUUAUUGAAAAUAAUCGACCUUUCAUGGAGCCAUCCAUCCAUCCCGGUUAAAACCGUAACUAUUUUACCCGGGAGGGACACGGGAAAUCCGGGUUAGUGCCUCUGCUCCGCCCCGAUCUCAGCAAACCAACCAUCUUUCCCUAGCCCCUGAAUAACCCCACGGGUCUUUUCCUGUACGUUUUGGGAGGAUUUUGGGGCGUUCAAGUCGACAAAUCAUCCGUAAAAUGCAAUCUCGUUUAGUCGUCGCCUCUCUUUGGGGAGGAAUAAAAUUCUAAACUCUUUUUUUUCUUCUUGGAAUCCCUGACUGGCUUAAGUGCGAAUUGAGUCACACUUAUUUAUGAGCAAAAAUGAAAAUGUUAUGGAUAUUGUUCUUUAUUUGAAGCCGUGGUAGAUAUCCGAACCUGGUAAUGAGAUUGCACGGUACAAUCAAUAAACUGCGCGC
rnacentral:sRNA from 1 species